rnacentral:lncRNA from 1 species
GGUGUAAAUGGAAGAGCAACACAAAACCCAAAAAGGUAGUGAUUAGAAUGCGUGUUGAAAGGCUUGAAGAGUAGAAGAAGGGCACAUGCAAAGUUGGAGAAGAAGAAGAGGAAGAGAUAUUACUGACAAGCAAAUAGAAGAGGGAAGACGGUUUGUGUCCAUAUUAUAUAAACAAAUAAAAGUAAAAGUUAGAAAAGGAGAGAAGCAAGUAUAGGUAAAUAGCGAACAAAAGCUGUGUAAAGAGGAGAGAGAAAGGGAGGCAGGUGGAGGAAUAUAAUGGGAGAAAGAAGCGGUUCAGUCUGCCAUUCGGCGUAAAACCAGAGGGGAAAAUCAGGACCUUUUUUG